GAUAAACGCUAGCGGCAGGCUUAACACAUGCAAGUCGAGGGGCAGCAUAGAUUGUAGCAAUACAAUUGGUGGCGACCGGCGCACGGGUGCGUAACGCGUAUGCAACCUACCCGUCACAGGGGGAUAAUCCGGAGAAAUCUGGUCUAAUACCCCAUAACAUAUGGAUCGGCAUCGGUUCAUGUUGAAAUUUUCGGAGGUGACGGAUGGGCAUGCGUAACAUUAGCUUGUUGGUGAGGUAACGGCUCACCAAGGCGACGAUGCUUAGGGGGACUGAGAGGUUUUCCCCCCACACUGGUACUGAGACACGAACCAGACUCCUACGGGAGGCAGCAGUGAGGAAUAUUGGUCGAUGGGCGCAAGCCUGAACCAGCCAUGCCGCGUGCAGGAUGACGGCUCUAUGAGUUGUAAACUGCUUUUGUACGAGGGUAAAGUGGGUUACGUGUAACCUUUUGAAAGUAUCGUACGAAUAAGGAUCGGCUAACUCCGUGCCAGCAGCCGCCGUAA
rnacentral:rRNA from 1 species